UUUUGAGAAAAAAUAAGAAAAGGAGGGGUAUGAUCUGACGGAAAACCUCUAUUAUGGUUUUGAUCUAUACUAUAGCGCCCUGGUGGUUGUCGUGAUUCAGCUACUAAACGUUUUCUUCGCCACUACUCUGUGUUGCAGAUCGGAUAAGCGUCAUUUGCUUCUCAACAAAUUCGAUGGAUUCUGCACAAAAAUAAAAAGCUCAAACUCGUUUUCUCAGGAGUGCAGCACCAAUGAGUAGUGACCAUGCGGUGCAGUUUGCUAGCAGAAUAUUUUCGAUUGUAGUAACCGGUAUUCCAUCCUACACAAAGAUUUACAAAUUGUUUUGGAUUUGGGGAAAAUCAAUUUUCUUGAACAAAUGCUUCAGAAACGCUGCAUACCGCGAGCGCUUGUCAGUUUCCGCCACAAAACAUUACAUCGCGAAUCCGAGUGUUUCCUGUGUGAUGCCUCAACUCGUACCGGUUAUCUAUCAAAUCGAGGAGUGUGACACGGACGACGAUAAGUUCUAUUUUAGUAGGAUAGGAGCAUGUGUAUAAAAAAUAAUUUGGCGAUCUUUUCAAGGGAAUGGAGUCGAUUUUCAGUACCAUUGAUCUACAAGCGUGUCAUCCCGGUUCUAACUUUUAAAGCGGCUAAAGCACCGCUGAACGAUAAAAGCGAUCCGCGGGCCCCUUCACGAAUCCUCGUGUUACAUGUUACUGGAAGCAUAGAAGAACAUUUGGCAACGAAUAACAAGUAAGAAGCCGCCGUUCGUUCACCGAAAGAAAAUACAUUGACAUCAAUCUACCGCAAGAUACAAAUCCAAAAAGACUCCAGCUCGAAUCACGUGAAUAACUUCAUUUUAUUCGACUAUCAAGAACAAUCGGAUACCAAGUUCAUAACUUUUAUAGAAAAUUCGGCAACUACAGUGGUGACUGAUACCGGGUGGCCGAUGUAACACAUAAUAGUCAUUAUGUCAGUGUCAGUUUGACUGAAUAGACUGAAAUCAUUCAUUUAGGAUAGGAUAGUAAAAAUCGCCAAAAAGCAGUGAACACUGAAAAACGGCGUCAACAGAAGAAAAAUUCCGAAGCGAAUUGUAAAACCAUUUGAGAUCAAGAGUUCAGAAACAUCAGGAUCUAAAGCAGACCGAGCGAAUUUAGUAUAAUGCUGCUAGGCUGAUAAACGCCUAAACAAGAGGGUAUCUCACGCGAAGACUUCUUCAAACAGAAGAAGUUCAAAAGAUCGUCCAAAAUAUUUACGACACACUCCUGUUCAUAUUAGAUAUGUAUGAUGUAUCACGAAAACAACGCACCUGGCAUUUGGCGAGUUCGCAGUCCAGGUGACGUGCAACCCGUACAACUAAAGCGAACUGUUUUCCACCAGCUAACAUCCACCGACCACCGGUAAUCAACUGCACGAAAUUUUCAUUGAUACUACCACUCAGCAGCGAAUGCAGAUAAUACACCGCGAUCGAGAAUGGAUGAAACACAAACUUGAGACUCGGCAACGAAUAACUCCAGUAGCACAAAUCGAUUCAAGUAGAGUUUCAAAUCUCAGCUUCAGCUCACCUGCUGUACCCGAGCAAUACCAAACACUGCAGAUGUUUUCUCUAGUUUCAGUCAAUAUUGAAGAAACCACUGCCGCUGCUACCGAUAAUCACCAGAAUAACAACAUUACCCGCAAAGUGUGUCUUGAAGAGUUUUACAACAAAUCACCAGCAGCCAGCAGGUUUAAAUUCAAGUCAUCAAACCGUUCAUCGGUACGCCGGUGCAGGUGCAGACUGUCUGAUUGCAGAACAUCGUCAGCACGUACUCCAAACCUUUCAUCGACGGUGGUUACGGUUCUAAUGAGCCAAGUAAAAAGAGUGCCGGUAUCAAACCUCUGUCACAGGCCACUCCCGUCCAAAAGCUGCCACCGUUUAAUGACAGAAACCGUUGGGAUCAAUAGUAAUAGAUUAAUAGAUGUAUAAAUGCUGUUAAUUUUUGCAA